CCGCCCGCCCGCCCGCCAGGCUCAGGAGACAGCUCUUCUCUUAGCUGUCCUACCCUCUGGAAAAGAAGAACAGGGACUAAAAACUUGAAGCUGGACAUGAGCGCCUGAGGAAACCACCAUUCUGUGAUCCGUCUGUAGGUUCUCCUGCAGCUCUGCCUUCGAGGAUGCUAUCGGAGAAGAACUUUGCGCAGUUCCCGCAGGCGGUCGACCACCAGAGGCAAGGAGUUCUAGGUUUCGGAGCACCAGGAAUUAUCAGGGAGAACCAUUGUAAGUACCUUUCCUAUUCUUCCGAGUAACGAAAAGGCAGUGCUAACACUUGGAGGUGAUGGGCGAAAGUCAGCGCCAGCGGAGAAGGGAGGGUUAAGGACUGGUGCUGCCUCCCCAGGCCAAAACGGACUCACUUGGGGAGGGGGUGGAAGCUUCAGGUUUACCGUCUAGAAAGUAUUUCUGGGGCCUAGGUCACAGUCACCUGCACUAGUAAACGCACGGCAGGGGAUCACCCUCAUCUUCGGGACCUCCCUGGACCUUACAGGCCUUUCCCAGGCUUCUUUUGGCUCGCACAGGUGCAACGGACUUGCAGCUAAUUAGCAGCCCACCAUAUCAACGAACUGCGGGUGGGCCAGCAUCCACAACUGCUAGAAUUGACCCAAUCAGCACUGAGGCAGCAGUGUUCCCCCCCUCUGCGGUCCAGCCAUUAUUAUCUCUGCCCAGUCUAUCUCAAC
ensembl:lncRNA